AAAGUAUGUGGUAUUUGUGGUAUGAGGCAUAAUGAUAUUGCCUUCUCUCUCACCCUACUCUAAUAAGGUUUUGAUAUCUGGAGCUCAUAGGUGGGAGACAGCUAAUACAUACUUACAAGACAUUUAUUGCAUAGUCAAACCAUGGAUCCAGAGAAACAAGUCAAUAAGUCAAAUCAAGAUGUGCAUGUGUGACGAAUGAAUAGUGAUAAUGGUGAAAACAAUGGUGAAAGUCUAAUUCUACUUUUGCUCUUUUGAGGGGAUACAUACCUGUGGGGGUAUAAACCCCUAUACCCUUACGGCUAGACUUCAGCCAGGAAGCUUGGCCCACUACGAGACGAGUUCAAGGCUUGAUCCGACAGCUCGGAGUUUUGCGCAAGGAAACAAGACGUGGAGAUCAAGCAGGAUUCUAGUCGGUUAGAAUAGGAAUUGAUAUCGAAUUAUCUAUGGCAAUUGUAACCGACUAGGAUUAGUUUCCAGAUCUGUAACCCUGCCCUCCAGACUAUAUAAGGAGGGGCAAGGGACCCCCCUAGGAUAUCAUAUUCUCUCGGCACAAAUCAAUACAACCAGACGCAGGACGUAGGUAUUACGCCAACUCGGCGGCCGAACCUGGAUAAAAAGCUUGUCCGUGUCUUGCGUCACCAUCGAGUUCGUAGUUUGCGUACCAUCUACCGAUAAACUACUACCGUGGGUAUACCCCAAGGUAGACUGCCGACUAGCUUUCGUCGACAGUGGCGCGCCAGGUAGGGGGUGUGCGUACAACUUUUCCGGCGAACAAGAUGGUCACGAUCCCAGCUUCCGCGACCGUGCACGAAGGCCUCACGUUCACCGUCGGCCAGAUCACGUGGACGACGUGCAGCGGCGGCUUCGCGACCACGGUUCCGAAAGAGAUCCAGAUCCAAUCUGAGAUCACGCCGUCUCCGACCACACGCAUGACGGCACCAAGCUCCCGACCACCGUUCCCACUCUACAAGGGAAAGGAGAUCGACUGCUCGGACCUCCUCCAAGCGCUCGAUCACGCUGACUCCAAGCUACUCGAAGUCUCCCAACUAAUAGAUGGAGUUCUGCGCCGGCCCGACCAAGCUGCUCGAGCGGAUUUUUCGAAAUCCCGCCGGCCAACUCGUGUCGCCACACACGAACGGCUGGGAACGUCCCUGACGAUAACCUCAACCUCCUCAGGACGAUCCGUCGAGCUCAAAAAGGAAGACUAUCCUUGCGGCCUGAACAACUCGGCCUCUGUUUACUCACAGCAUGUCCAAUCCGUUUUCAGCAAGGCGGGCUGGUCACCGACAAGGAACAAUCGUCACCAUGUCAACAUGGUGACAAUCCAAGAGCUACGGGACGGCCAGGUUUCCAGCACCAACUCAAGCACCGGCUCCGUCCCCACCGAGGUUAUAAACACCGAAGACGAGGGCUACGACCUGGAUUUUCCUUCACACCCUCCGGGUUUCGACCGAUUCCCGAUAUUCCCCCCCCCGGCGAGGGGAUAUUGUGUUCAAUGUCAGCGCCGACGAACCGGCUGUUGACGGAGAAUCAGAUGACCAGAGGUAACUCCGCGAACAGCGUAACGCCGAUCGCGCCCGACGGCGUGCGGACGAGCAACAACAGAUGCCACCAAGUAACCUCAACGAUGCCUUUGACAUGGUCGGGGACCAGCCGGUCUACAAAACGCCAAGCGCCAACGUGGCUGUCGCCAUGGCCAACCUGGAUCGGCUUCCUGACACCCCCGAAUGCCAGGGAGUCCGGACCAGCAUCCGAGCACACCUGAUCGCCGCAAUGGGACAGACAGCCACUCUGCUCAAGAGAGUCCAGGACGUCUCUUAUACGGAAGCCGCCUCCGACCAGACUAAUCGUAGCCGGGCCUCACCCAGCAGGCGUCACCGCAGCCGCUCCCCCGACAACCGUCGAGGGGACUCACGGCGCGACGAUGGUGGUCGGGACGCCGAUGGCCGCCGCCAGCAGAACCGCGUACGCGGCCAAGAAGAAGAAGAUCAACACAGGGAUCUCCGCCACAACAUCCCUCCCAAAGAUGCCCGGGACCGCAUCAACAGGCGCGCCGCAGAGAGAGCAGUCCACGAAAACCUGCGCCGCAUCGAGUACGAUGCGACCCACGGUCCUCCGGGCCUAAGGCAGUUCUCCUCACACCUCCGCCAGGUCGUGUGGCCCCGCAAUUUCAAGCUCGAAAAACUUAAAAAAUACGACGGCAAGGAAAAUCCAGAGAACUGGAUCACUCUCUAUGAAAUCGCCGUCCGAUCAGCGGCAGGAGAUGAGCACGUCAUGGCUAACUACUUCCCCGUAGUCCUCGACCAGGCUGGUCAUCAGUGGCUUCUCGGCUUGCCCGAGGACUCCUUUGACUCUUGGGAAGAGCUACGACAGGCUUUCAUCGACAACUUCAUCGCCACAUGCGAGCAGCCCGGAAACAAGUAUGACCUUGAAAGGAUAAGAGACAGGAAGAAUGAACCUCUGCGCGAUUACAUCCGACGAUUCUCGGAUAUGCGCCUCAAAAUCCCGAAGAUUUCUCAUGACGAGGCCAUAUCAGCCUUUAUCAAAGGCUUGCGUUUCCAUGAAGCGCUGAGGAACAAGCUGUUGCGUAAGCGCCCAUCAAUGGUAGCAGAGCUCCUCGCCACGGCUAAAAAUUACGCCGAUGCUGAUGACGCAGAAAAACUAAUCCGAGACGACGCGAGAGGCCCCGACCAGCCUUCUCGGCGAGAUGACGGUCGUGGUCGCUACGACAACAGAAGUCACCGCCGCUCCGACAACCGCGAUCACCGAGAGGGUUGGGAUCGGCGGCGCGACAGCCGCGACGACUUCAGAGGAAAGCGCCCUCGUGAAUACGACCACGAAGUAAAUACGGUCAAACGUCCCAACGGACGACGGGACUACCAAGACGACUACAACAAAACGUUGAAGGGACCGUGCCAGCUACACCCAAAGUCUAACCAUACCAUGGAAGAGUGCCGCGUCCUCAAAAGUAUCUAUACACGGCGGGCCGCCCAAGAGGACUCCGCCAAGAAAAAUAACAACAAGGCAAAAGAAUGCACAGCAGCACAAAAAGCGGCUUACCUUGACUUCGUCGACGAGGCGCUUGGCCGCGCGCUCCACCCUGGCGGCCUCUUCGGUCUCGGCGAGCUCCUCAUGCCCGAUAAAGUGAUCCCCGCGUUGGCGCCACACAUACACGUGUUGGCGGCCAUCACGGGGACGACCCUCGAUCUCUUCCACCUCGUCAUCGGAGGCCGCCCGGGUUUCCUCCUCCUGUGCUGCGUCACCCCCGGCGGUGGUCCCAGGUAUUACUGGCCCUUGGACCAGACCUGGGGAGCCCUCAGCCGAAGAGGCUCCUGCUCGGGGCGGCGGGGGGACUUCACUCCCCCCGGCAGGAGGAGCAGUCGGAGAUCUUCCCUUCUCUGAGGAGUCAGUUGGGGGAGCCUCUCCAGCCCUGGUCGGGCUGCUUGUUGUAGUCGGCGCCGCGCUCGGGAGCCCCUCGGUGCUCCCAGGCGCGACUGCAGCUGUUGGCUCCUCUGUGGUCUGGGGGGCCGCAUCCCCAGAACCGCGGGCAGGCUCGCCCGUUCCCUGGCUGGCAGUUUGGCCAGGGUCGACAUCCGAUGCCGCAGUACAGGAACAAAAGUUAAAAAAAAAGGAGUCCAAAAUACGUAAGUCGAACACUUACAGGUCUGACCGACGGUGGGUCGCGGUGAACCUCCUCCUCGUCCGGCCGGUCGGCACCUGUGCCCCCAUCUCGACAACUUGCGGGGCAGCGGCGCCGCUGGCCACUCGAUCAGUGGCGACCGGCGCAGUGUCUGGGCGGCUCCGAGGCCGUCAGACCAACGACGGCGCAGCCUCCUCGUCGUCGUCGUCGUCGACGAUCCGCACGAGCCGACGACGCUUCGGUGCUUGGCUGCUCUCCGCCGGUAGAUCUGCCGGCAGCUCCGGUGUCGGCAAGGGAUCUGCCGGCAAUGGCCUUUUCCCCGCUACCCUCUCCUCGGAUGUCGGGACGGGGCGGGCUUGGUCUUCCUCACUGCUGGUGUAAUGAGUACACCGAGCAGCGUCCUCCUCUGGCGGGACCUCUCCCGCAGGAUUUUCCAUCCCCGGUGCCAGUGAUACAUACACUGUGCACCGGUCGACAUCGCCGACCUGCAAAAGCAACAGAGAUGAGUCAACUGCAGACGAUAUACGAAUGAUCAAACAGAAUCUGCUACAUACCUUUGGUGCUGGUCGUCCUAACUUGAAGGCUUGCACCCGAUCACUGCCACGGAUGAAGCCCCCAUCCGCGAAGUUAAACAGCUCGUUCAACAGCUGUUGUACCUCUGCUUUCUCCAAGAUCUCCGACCGCAUCCUGGUCGGGUCUGCGCUUCCGGCAUACUCGUACGCCGAGUGCACCCUCUUCUGGCAGGGCAUCACCCGGCGGCAAAUGAAGUUGCCGACCACGCCAAGCCCGUCUAGGCGCGACCAGUCGAAGCUUCAUGAGAUCCGCCACUGGACCGUCGAACUCCGGGCGGUCGGUCCAGCUCGUCCUCUUCUCAGGAAUGUAUCCCACGUCGCAGAACGUGGAGCUGCCCGGUUCCUCCCUGAUGUAGAACCACUUCCUGUACCAUUCGGUCAAGGAAGUGUUCCAUGGGCAGUGCAGGUAGCGAUUCUUCAUCCCAUCACGAAGGUUGAGGUAUACUCCACCUGCAACCUUGGAGCCUCCAACUGCUCCCUUCUUCCUCAAGCAGAAAAGAUACCGGAAAAGAUCGAAGUGCGGCUCUAUGCCAACAUAGGCCUCGCACAGGUGGAUGAAGGUGGAAAUAAGGAGAAUUGAGUUCGGGUGCAGAUUGCAAAUCCCGAUCUCAUAGUACAAAAGAAGACCUUGAAGAAAAGGAUGAACAGGAACACCAAAGCCUCUCUUAACGAAAUCUUCAAAAACGACGAUCUCACCGGCGUGAGGGUCGGGGUAGCUCUCCCCCUCCGGUGCCCUCCAGCCGCCGAGCUCUGCGCCGUGCAGAAGCCCCAUAUCGACGAGGUCACCAAGAGAUUUUGUGGUGCUGCGAGACUUCUUCCACUCCUUGGCCAUCAGUUCGGCCCUCUUCCUGGAGUCGCUCUUCGCCAUUAGAGGUGCGAAUGUGGGCUGGAGUUAGGAAGAUGCAGGAGAUUGGAGAAGAUGAGAGCGGAAGGUUUGAAGGCAAUGGCAGGCGAAGCAGUACAGGCGGACCUAAUAGGCCCUUAUAAACCCGCGACUCCACCUCUCCCACUUCCUGUAUUCUCGGGAAGUGGGCAGGCCAUGCGGCGGACGCGGCGUUUCGGUUUACAAUGAUUAUAGACAAUUAAUGCGGCGGAGUUUUCGUACCAAUUGAUGGUUUCCUUUUCUCAAACCAUGCAAAGAGCGGUUGUACAGUUGCCAGGUGCAACUUUUCAUGCAUCCGUCUGACAUAUCGUCAGGAGACCUCGUCACGUCAACUUUAACUAGGAAAGAUCUUUUCAAAAGUAAGAAGACACAUACGCCAGUGAGUCAACAAUCCGGGGACUGCACCGACCACCGAGCACUCGACGCUCGGGGACUGGUCGCCCAGUCUAUCAGCUCGGAACUUCAAGGACUGCACCGACCACCGAGCACUCGACGCUCGGGGACUGGUCGCCCAGUCUAUCAACUCAGAACUUCAAGGACUGCACCGACCACCGAGCACUCGACGCUCGGGGACUGGUCGCCCAGUCUAUCAGCUCGGAACUUCAAGGACUGCACCGACCACCGAGCACUCGACGCUCGGGGACUGGUCGCUCAGUCUAUCAGCUCAAAGCUUUAAAGCAUGCACCGACCACUGAGCACUCGACGCUCGGGGACGGGUCGUACAGUAUAGCAACAUAUAAUUCCAAGAAGCACACUAAGUGCUUGGGGACUGGUCGAUUGGUCUUUUCAAUUGCAGACGAGCAUGACAUGCUCGGGGACUGGUAAAUUCACUUUAGAUCUUGCUACAAGGCUCAUAAUUCGCCUUCCAGCAAGCUCGGGGACUACAUCGGUACGAUGCAUCUAGCGAUGCAUCUCAGUCUCAAAACUACUUUGGGGAAUUUUCUUUUGACCCUGGCACCACGUGCCUACGUCACCUACUACCAGGCUCGGAGACUAAGUGGGCACACUUCACCUAGCGGUGAAUUUGCUUGCUUUUUUGAUGCUUCUACCUUUCAAAAAGGUAAAGUGGGCACACUUCACCAGGAAAGAAAUUUUUUUAAGAGCACCAUGCAUUCUUCGAACAACCUGCUUCUUCGAUGUCAAUGUUGAUCAACUGUCUUUCGAGUUACCGUUGCAACUGUUUGGGCGAUUUUCCCACUUAUUGAAGACGCCAAGCCUCGCUGAUCGAAGAAGCAAAAAGACGGCGUGUUGCAUCACAAUACAUGGUGCUCGGGGACUAGCUAUGGGGGUAUAAACCCCUAUACCCUUACGGCUAGACUUCAGCCAGGAAGCUUGGCCCACUACGAGACGAGUUCAAGGCUUGAUCCGACAGCUCGGAGUUUCGCGCAAGGAAACAAGACGUGGAGAUCAAGCAGGAUUCUAGUCGGUUAGAAUAGGAAUUGAUAUCGAAUUAUCUAUGGCAAUUGUAACCGACUAGGAUUAGUUUCCAGAUCUGUAACCCUGCCCUCCAGACUAUAUAAGGAGGGGCAAGGGACCCCCUAGGAUAUCAUAUUCUCUCGGCACAAAUCAAUACAACCAGACGCAGGAUGUAGGUAUUACGCCAACUCGGCGGCCGAACCUGGAUAAAAAGCUUGUCCGUGUCUUGCGUCACCAUCGAGUUCGUAGUUUGCGUACCGUCUACCGAUAAACUACUACCGUGGGUAUACCCCAAGGUAGACUGCCGACUAGCUUUCGUCGACAAUACCUUUCUUGCACUUUGAAGCUUUUUGAGGGGAAUGAGAUGCUCUAUAUUUCCUUUUUCUUUUCUCUCAGGUGGGUAUCUUGUACCCCUAAUUCUACUGUCGGACACUUGUCCAUUUUUACCUCUCAUCUCACUUUUUCUUUUUCUUUCGAGGUUCCGAGCACUUGUCCCUUUUCAUUUUCUCGUAUUUUUCUUCUUUUUUUUAGAGCACUCACCCUCCUGGAAUAAUGUAGCAAGUGGUAGUAACCAAAAUAGCUCGAGCAUUUAUUUCACAGGGAAAAACAGGAAUGGGAUAAUGUUUUUGGCUAUUCUCUCCCGGAUAGGAGUAGAAUAAUUUUGGGUGAAUCCGGAGAUGGAAAUGAGUGGAUGUAUGUGGAUGCAUACUUCCGGAGUAGAAGCAGCAUGUAUGAGUGGACGUGCAAGUGAAUCUUGAUUUUAACCGCAUGACAAGCUCCUAAGGGUCUACACAGCUUGACCACACUCAAUGCUCAUAAGCAGUAAAAAAGUAAAUGUAUGGUUCAUAGUCUAAUAAGCAUGUAUAUAUAGCUGUGGUAGGAUUUUAAACUCUCAUCAUAUAGGAACUCAUCAUGCAACAUUUUAAAGAUUUUUAAACAUAAAAUUCUCCAGAAUUCUAGCAUCUCUAGGAACAGAUAAAUAGCAGCUCAACCAUCCCAUAUCGUAUCCGUUAACGACUUAGACUUUAGAUCAAGUACUCUUCCCACAAAUUCAGGUUUAGAGCAAUCUUUAAAUUAUAACAGUCAUGCCUAAACUUGAGAGAGAGCUCAAAUUUGAAAACUAGGUAAUUGGCAGAGCAACUAUUCAUCAUAUCCAUGUGAGAGCUUAUCAUGAGGGUUCAUAGCAAACUUUAUUUAUUUAUUUAUUUAGCAAACUAAGAAAAGAUAUAUAUAUAUAUAAGCAUAAAAUCUUUAUUUGGGUUUUUAUUAUUAUGCAUCUUUUUAUUAUUUUAACAAAGUAUAAGUAUAAACGUAGAUAGAAAUACUUAGCAGGAUAAAUGGGGGUGCUCUCCUCCAAGCUGGAUUUUGACGUAAUUUCUUUCGAUGUAGCUAGCAGGUGGCGGAGGUGUAUUUGAAUGUCGGCAGCACCCUGACAGCGAUUAGAAUGUCCUCCGUCUGCUAGUCUUCUUUAAUCCUUGAAUUCUGUGGAGCUCAAAUAGACAACAAAGCUUUGUGGAAUUGGUUAAGUGUUAGCAUAAAAUCUCUUCUCCUUUAUCAUGUUGAGCUUCCUUAAUAAAUGUUACUCUCUUUGGUAGGAUCAUAAAUUUAUUUUUAUAUUUUCAUUUUUAUAGGACAGGAAUAUAUUUAUUUUAUUUUUACGCCACCACAGUGAAUGUACUUAUGGGUUUCAUGCCACGAGCAUUCUCACAUGGGGCUUACUAUUUUUAACAUUUUUAUUUUCUUUUCAAGAUAGCAUGAAUAACUAACAAGCCAUUUAAGGAAAGUAAAUAAUUUAAGGGAAAAGGGAAUGCAGAAAGGAUAAAUAUGGGUAACUAUCGAUUUUACCUUUCGGCGAGGGUUCAAUGUUUUAAGUCUUCUGAACAAGACUUCUUACCGUGUUCAUUCUUCGGGUGCGUCAUUUGAUUCAGGUGUGGACCUUGCCGUCUGCACCUCUUAAUACGGUGUCACCCAUGUUCUUUGUUUGCCCAGCAGUUCAAAGUGCGGCAUUGGCAGUAUCUUGCUCAGUGUGUUUGUGCUCGUAGUGUACCUCCUCAUAGAGACAAGGCAGAGAUCAAGUGCAUGGGCCGUGUUGGUGGAAAACACCAACAGAACCAAAAGUGUAUUUGUUCUUCUCUAACCUUAAGCAUGGUGAGCAAGACAAAGUUGAUGAAUGAUAAGUUCAUGAGUGUAGCAUUUAAAACAUUUGCCGGAUCAGAUCGCUCAACCUAAUGGAAAGAUAAUCUAUCUAUAUAUAUGUCUUUUUCUUUGUAUCUUCCCAAAGAUUAAAUGUGCAACAUUUUAGCUCAUAUGACUAGGAGUGUGGGGAUAAAAGAUUAAGGGACUAAACAUGCUGAAUCAGUGUGGUUGGUUAAUUUGGAGUUAUAAAUCAUACAUGUUUGUCUGUUUUAUUCAUAUGAACGCCAGAACCAAGGAGCAGCUUAUAAAAGUGAUAGUCAAGUACCUUAAGAUGUUACCUUACUUGAAGAGUGAUGGUACAGUAUCACCUUGUGGAAGCUUUCCUUUCUUAGCGGUUGUGCAUCGUGUUUGUGGCAUCCUCCAUGGAUCAUCUCUUAUGAGCUGCGUCUUCCUUGUGUCAAUUGUUAAACUUCAUGUAUUUCUCUCUUUGUCUCUGAUGUGAGUUUAUCUGAGGACUUCCCAGGUCGAUAUUGAAAGUUUUCCUGCAGGGGUUAGUCCAACAAAUAUCCAAUAUCUACUAUUGCAUACUAUCGGCUCAAAAAUCAACCUGGACACCAUGUCUAAUUUGAUUUAGGAGGGCAUUUUAACCUAAGCACCAUGCUUAAUUUAAAAUCCCUUGGAAGUAAGAUCAUCAUUCCUAAACUAAGCACCAUGCUUAUUUAAGAGAUAAAUGAAACUACUCCAAACCUAGACAUAUACUAAAGCAAAUAAAGGUAGCAUGAGAGCAUUUAUAGAGAUCUACUCAAGUGGAGAUGAAGUAGUGUGAUUAGUAUUUAACAAAUUGAGCAUGUCUCAAAGGUAGGGACAACCAACAUAACAACAUGGCAAAGGAUGUUUUUAUGAAAAUUACUCCCCCAAGCUUGAAUUUUGCAAAAUUCAAGUUUGGAUUUAAUUCAAUGUUGUAUGAUGAUUGGUUGGACAUACCUUGUGCUUGUUAUUCAUCCAAUCUUCUUGCUCCAAUCCUGGAAAGGUUAGUGACAAGAAUACCUGAAGGAAUAUUUUUACAAUUAUCCUUAUAUGCUCAAUACGCAAGGUAAUGUUGCAAAUAAUUAAAAGCUCAUGUUAUGAUAUGAUAAGUGCUUAUUUGAGGACACCAAGCUUGUCCUUGGGAAACCAUCAAUUUAUGUCGGCGAAGUGGUUUCCCUUCCAACGCUGACCUAUAUCAAGAUCAACUCAACGAGAUCUGCAAUAUUUAUUAUAGACAUAUGCAUCGACAACCGCCCUUUUAAAGUUUUUAUAAAUAGAAAGGAAGAGGGGGUUGGAGAUCUCAAAUGUGGUGAUGUUGGAGAGACCAAUAGAUUGGGAAGAUGUUGCAUAUGAGCAUGGAGUAAAAAAGUGGCUAUGAAAUAAAUUCCAUGCUCAUUAAUGUUAUCUUCGUCUCCAAUCUGAAUGUUCGGAGUUUCUCCUGGAUUGGUGUCACUUAUGUCCUCUUCUAUAGCUGGAUGAAUCUCAUCUUCAAAGGGAGUCAAGAACUCACCAUUUGAAAUUGAGCCAAAGUCAGAAUUCAUUAAGGCUUCUUCCUUAUCCAUCCAUUCUACACAUUCUAGCCAUUUGGAACUUGUGAUCAGGAAAGGGGAGCUGAUAGAAUCUUCUAUAUAGUUGAGCUCUCCUUCUAUGGUAUUACUUGACAUGCCAUCCUUGUGGUCUUCAUGACUCCUAUGGUUUGGUCGUCCUGGUGAAUUGCUAGGACCAUCAUGAGACUGAAAAUAAGAGGGAUAAGAGGGAUCUCUAAGGUCAAGGAUAGAUUUAGAACUUGUGAACAUGGUAGGGGAGCAGAUAGAAUUUUCUAUAUGGCUUAGCUCUCCUUCACUUGAUAUGUCAUCCUCGACUUCUUCAUAAUAGCAACCAGGACAUUCUCUAAGAGAAACAUUAUUGCAAGGAUUUGAAUUAUCCCUACUUGAAGGUCUCUUAUGGAGCCAGAAGUCUAAACCAUCAGUAUCUGAAAGAUUUAAGGUCGGAAUUCCUUCCUCCCUUGGAGAAUUUUGGGGUAUUGAUCGUUUAGGAUCGAUAGCUAAAGUUUGGGAUUGAAGUGGUUGUGAUCUAGCUAUCGAAACUUCUUCUUCUUGUUUAGGAACUGGUUCUUUCUCUUUCUCAGGGAUAUAAAAGCUAGGAGACUUUCUGCUCAUUAAAUCAGUCAAAUUCCAAGCUUCACUAGCGGACAGUUGGUGGAAAGAUCCUCCAGAGGCCGCAUGAAGGGUUUGCUUAUUUUCCAUACUAAGGCCCUCAAAAAAGUGAAUUAGAAGAACUUCUUCUGGAAUAGAAAGCUUUGGGCCACUGAGAGUAAGGUUAAUAAAGCGGUCCCAUGAUUUCCUAAGAGAUUCUUCUUCCAGUUGUCUAAAAGAAAUAAUCUCACACCAAAGUUCCGCCACUUUGGAGAUUGGAAAAUAUUUAAAAAGAAAACUAUUAUAUAACUCCUUCCAAUCUCCAUGAACACUCCCUACUUUGAGUUUAUACCAAUUUCUAGCUUUUCCCGUUAAAGAGAAUGGAAAGAGCUUCCAUUUAAGGGUCUCAUCGGACAUGCCUUCUAUGCGAAGGAGGUCACAGACUCGAUAAAACUCUCUUAGGUGUGUGUAUGGGUUUUCCUCACAUUCUCCUGAGAAAGGUUGUUUUUGUAUAAAUUCUAUGUAUUCAGGGUCUAUCUCAAAACUAAAUGCUAUGAUAGGCUUUGAAGAUUUUGGUGGUUCGAGAUGUGUGCCCGUAGGUCCAUGAAACUGAUAGAUAGACAUGUUUGCAUUCAUGAUAGACCAAAAAUCAAGGAUUAGAUAAGAAGAAUGAAUAACAGAGAUGACUAAAAGGAUAAAAGGAAAAAUAUUUUUUUUUAUUUUUUUAGAAAAUGAUUAAGCUAGUUCAUAGUCAACUCAGCAACAGUCUCCCCGGCAACGGCACCAAAAAUGCUUGUUGACACUUGCCAACACCACUUGAAUACUAGGUUGUCAUCCCCAGCAUGGCACUAGAGUGUACUAUGGUAUUUAUACGCACACAGAUAAUCCGCAAGCGCACGGAUACCGUUGAAGCUUUUACCCGGUUAAAGGUUUUAUCGUAUCCAUAGGGAAACGGGAGAACCAACUACGUUCUAACUUAACCAAGAUAGAUAGAUAAGUGUAAAUAGGAAAGAUGGUAGAAUUGAAUAAGAACAAUAUUAAAGGUAAGAUAAGAAUGGGUGAUAAUAUGGGAAUAGAGAGUAGAGCAAUCUAGUAUAUGGGCGAUGGUAGUAGAAUAGAGAAGAUAACUAUGGUUUCUCUACUUCAAAGGGGUAUGUCUAUGUCUGGGACGAACCACGUGAUAAGAGUACACCACAAAGGAUGCUUAUCCUUAGGCCGAUAAACUUUACCUGUCCUGUUAACGAGAGGUGGACUACAGAGGACCAACGUAACUGUCCCCUACGCAGCCUACCACACGAUCCAGCUAGACAGGGGAUAUCCACAAGUAAUCUAGGUCUAAGAACCAUGCUUACACCUAUACUACAACUCUGACCUAUAGGGUCCUAUAGAUUAGAAGUACUCAAAAGAGUUGUGAACCAUAACAUACAUGAUUAGUAAUUGCAUAAUGAAUUAGAAGGAGAUUACCAGAGUCAUCCCAUGAGCAAGCUUGAUUAGAGCUUGAUCAUGACGAAGUACAACCGGAGGAAGAACCGACAGGUCGGCCUCUCCUCUAAUCCUCCUUCGCUCUCCAUCUCGCUACUAUCUAGAUCUACUUUAGUUUAGAGAAGAGAGGAGAGCUCUCAUCUCUAAACCCUAGCUUUUGCUCUGUCUAUGAAUAAUGAUCAUGGGGUGCCUCCUCUAGGGGCCAAGGGGUCUGCUUAUAUAGUCCCCUCAAGUGAACCUGGGCCGUCGGAUCAAACCGACAUUGAUUGAACAGUUAUUCUUGAUCCUUUAGGUCGGUGGAGCAUAAUCCGCGAGGUUGAACAUGAUUGGCCACUGUAGCAGGGCGGGCGCCCAAGGGGGGAGGGCGGGCGCCCUGCCCCCGAGCCCGCUCGGCCUCCCGUUCGUUCCCGUGGCUUCUGGAGUCUUCUAGAUGGUAGAAAAUUGUGCGGCACAUUAAUAUCUCUAUGUAAACCCAACGUGUGGGCCUUUCUUCCGUAUUUGCUGAUAACCCCCUGCAGAAAUAGACAAACACCAAAACUCAUGGAAUUCUGUCAGAUAAAACCCUAAGUCUGGGUGUUGGUUGCAUUUGGAUCCUUUUCUUUAUUUAUUUGAUGAUUAUAUUUGGUACUUGAGGACCGUCAACAAGGGGUACUGUACUGAAGAGGCAAUUGAGUCCGGAGGACCAUUCUGCAAUGCAAUAGUGUCUUAAAAGACUAGGUCGCAAUAGAUUUGCCUCCGUUAAAGCAUGAGGGUAGGCUGCAUGGAAGUGGGAGGAUUGGACGAAAAUCAUUCAUCCCGCCAGAUUACAAUACAGUCCUUAAGGCACAUCAUAGCAUCUUACAUCAGCUCUCGAUAAUGGAGCAUUUGCUCGAGCAACAUUUUAAUGAGCUUUGAGAACAUAAUCCUAGGCAAACGAAUGAUUGGGUAAUGAAGGAACACAAGAAACAAUUGUACACAUGGCUAUGGGAGCAUAACACUCCAUAUAGGAAAACAAUUGAUGAACAAACCAUUAAGGCUUUGGCAUCUGGACCAUCACGCCAAGUGACAACAUGGCAAACCUAUGACAUAAGUGGAUUCACAUUUCAUACCAAGUCCAAGGACAAAAAGAGCAUGGCACAAAAAUAGUGGUGUUCGAUGCGAGGCCAUAGACGCCGAAACUAGUGAUAUUAUUACAUAAUUUGGCUUCAUCGAGGACAUAUUGGAACUAGACUAUUGUACAUUUCAGAUCCCCGUGUUUCGAUGUCAAUGGGUAGAAUAUAAACAUGUCAAGUGGAUAAUUAUGGGGUCAAAGUUCUUGAUCUAAGUAAGGUGGGAUACAAAGAUGAACCGUGGAUCCUUGAUAACUGUGCUGCACAGGUGUUCUAUGUUGAACAGUUCCUUUCUAAGAAUGAGAAGAAAACUACUGACAAGCCAAAGCAUUUAGUUUUUCCAAGAAAGCAACAAGCAAUAGGAGUUGAUGGUGUAGCGGAUCUAGAAGAUUUUAACCAGUUCGGUGACAUGUACCUCUUUGUGGACGACCAUCCAGUGAAGAAAAGAAAUGUUGAGCGAAGCAUCCCACAAAGUUCUUUUCCUUGGUGCGUCCUGAUGGACAAGGAAAAAUAGUAACUGCCUAGAUUGUAUUUAUCAUUCAUCAUGUAAACUUUGGUCAUCAUGUAAUCUCACACAAACUUUAUGAAACUAUAUGUGAGACCUUUGGAUUUAAAACUACACUUUCGUAAUAAUUUGAAAUGUUGAUCUUGAUGAGUGGAACAAACUUUCUAUUCAUGACUUUUCAAAUAGGGUCUAGGGUCCUGAAAACAUGCAUGUAACCGUGAAAAUUUGAAAUUUCAAAAUCUGAGUGGUCCAAACCCUCCCAGAUGAAAAGUUGACCAUUACACCAAAUGUGUAUCUUGAAAAGGUGGACAAACUCUGUAUUCAUGACUUUUGUGGCUGAGACCAUCUCGAGUCCGGUCAAAGUGUCUUUUUAGAAAAAUCUAAGAUUUGACUUGGUCAAACUCGGUCAAACGAGGCAACAAAAUACCUCAAAUGAAAAAAAUUUGAAUACAAAGGAGUUAGAGCUCAUCAAGGUCUUCCUUUGAUAUAUAGUCCAUUUUUGCAUUUGGAAAAGUUUUAGUAGACUCUAGUCACAUGUUUUAAGAAUCAAGGCUUGACUUGGUCAAACAAGGCACUAAAUAACCUCAAAUGAAAAACCUUUGAAUACAAGGGUGUUAGAACUCAUGAAGAUACACAUUCCAUAUACACGAUAUUUUUGUGUUUGAGAUAGGGUUGGUAAACUGUGGUCACAAAGUGUUAAAUCUCACACAAACUUUAUGAAACUAUAUGUGAGACCUUUGGAUUUAGAACUACACUUUUGUAACGCUUUGUCAAAUGCAAAAAUAUGCUUUGUAUGAAAUGUAGAUCUUGAUGAGUGGAACAAACUUUCUAUUCAUGACUUUUCGAGUUGGGGUAGUCUAGAGUCCCAAAAAUAUGCGUGUAGUCCUGAAAAUUUGAAAUUUCAAAAUCUGAGUGGUCCAAACCCUCUCAGAUGAAAAGUUGACCAUUACACCAAAUGUGUAUCUUGUUAUGGUGGACAAACUUUUUAUUCAUGACUUUUAUAGCUGAGACCAUCUCAGGUCCGGUCAAAGUGUCUUUUUAGAAAAAUCCAAGAGUUGACUUGGUCAAACUAGGUCAAACGAGGCAAUAAAAGACCUCAUAUGAAAAAAAUUUGAAUACAAAGGAGUUAGAGCUCAUCAAGAUCUACCUUUGAUAUAUAGUCUGUUUUUGCAUUUGAAAAAGUUUCAGUAAACUCUAGUCACAUGUUUUAAAAAUCAAGGCUUGACUUGGUCAAACCUAGUAAAACAAGGCACUAAAUGACCUCAAAUGAAAAACUUUUGAAUACAAGGGUGUUAGAGCUCAUCAAGAUACACAUUCCAUAUAUAGGAAAUUUUUGUGUCUGAGAAAGGGUUGGUAAACUAUGAUCACAAAGUUAAAAAUAAUAUAGAAAUUAUUUUGUGCCACCAAAAAUAUAGAAAAAAAUUUAUAUUGAAAAACAUAGAAAUUAUAGAAAUUAUUUUGUACAAAAUAAUAUAGAAAAACAAUAUAAUCAUAUUAUAAUAUCAAUAUACAAAUAAUAUAUAACAUUAAAAAUAAAAUAGAAAAAUAAAAAACAUUAAUAUAGAAAAAUAAUAUAAUCAUAUUAUAAUAUCAAUAUACAAAUAAUAUAUAACAUUAAAAAUAAAAUAGAAAUGUGCCACCAAAAAUAUAGAAAAUAUAGAAAUUAUUUUGUAUAGGCGGUUGGCAUUGACUACCGCCUGUAUAAAUCUAUUUCUAUAGGCGGUGGUUAUUGCCAACCGCCUGUACAAAAAUAUUUCUACAUGCGGUUGGCAUUGAGAACCGCUUGUAGAAAUGGCACUCAUAUAUAUUUCGCACUCAGACACUCCAAAAAUUUCUAAGUCCAAAGGCGCCAGUGAAUUUCAAACUACGUUGUCUGGCUACCAAAUUUCGCCGCCGGUCUCCACCACCGCUCCGCCGCUGGUCUACGCCGCCGUUCCUCCACGCCAGUAUGCAGCUAGGUUUUUAAUGCUAAUUGAGUUUGUCUUUUCCAUAUAUUCUACUAUAGAGCUCCAAAUGAAGUGAAAUAUCUGUGGCAUGCUACUCAUAUGAUGUUUGUUGUAUGAUAAAAUUUGCAUAAUUUUUGGUUGCAGUAUAAAUGAGUUAUUGAUUUAACUUGCAUAGGGAUUGAUAAAUAGUUUAUAAUUAUAAAUAAAAAUAUAAAAAUGGAAAAUGUUGUUCCAGUACAAUUCUAUGAUAUUGUUGUAUCAGUUUUAUAUAUAAUAUGGUCAUGUAUUUGAAGAAAAUAUGAUUUGUGGAUUUAUCUUGCUCUCACAUGAUUAAUUACAAUGGUAGUUUCUUUUUUUAUAAAGAUUGCUAUGUUUUUUAAAUGCAAAGAAAUUUGUGCAGUAGAUUAUGGAUAGUAUGUAGAAGCUACUGUAACUUUUGUAGAAUUUACUGUACACUUUUGGUAUAUGCUCUUUAAUUCACCUUAUUAUCCAAAUAAAUUAAGAAAGACAUUAAAUAAAUUUAUUUGGUACUGACCAAUAUGUUUUCUAGUAUUCUUUAGAUAUGUGCAACCUGUUGGUAACAAUGGUUUUGCCCAAAUGCAUGUUUCAAACAUAAGUUAAUAAUUAAUUGUUUGCAAUUGUUGUUUCUGAACAGUUUCUUGAAUUUUUGGCUUAAACUAUUUGGCAUUUUGCUAAGUAUGACUCAUGCCUUUGAUGAUGGCCAAGUUAAUACACCUGAAAUAUUGUGAAACAUAUAUGCCAUUACUUAAACAACCCAUAUAUAAGUUGUUGACAAUUUAGUAAGCUUUCUAGAAAAGAUGUAGCAAAGAUGUAGAUAACUUACUAAUCUAUCUUGUGGUAAAGUUCCAUGUCAUUUGGCUAAGUUCCAUGUCAAUGUAUAUACAUGAUGCAUAUGCUAAGUAAUUAUUAUUUCUUUUUUAUAAUUUAAUUAUUUAUAAUGCAAUGCAAUUAUUUAUGUAUAUAUAGUAAAUAAUAAAUAUUGACUUUUAAUUUAACUGUCUAUGUAUAUACGUGAUGCUUAUGUGAGAUUUAUGAUGCAAUUAUUUAUAAGUCAACUAUUUAUAAGUCAACAGUUGACUUAUUAGCUUUAGGAUUUAUGCUUUAGGGUUUAGCACUUAGAGUUUUAUCUUCAUUGUUGAUACUAUACUAUAUAGCAUUUCUGAUAACAUAUAUGCUUUAGAAUCUCGCAAUGACGACUACUCCAAGUGAAAACACAAAGCAAACACAAGGGUUCGGCCCCACGGAGCAGGCACCACGGUCUGGCCCCACAGCGCAAGAAAAAGGGUCUGACCACACCGAGACGGCUCUAGGGUCUGGCACCAUGGUGCAAGAAAAGGGUCUGAUCGCACGGAGCAAGAAAAAGAGCCCGAGCACACGGAGAAGGAACAAGGGUCCCACAGCACGAAACAGGCAGUAGGGUCACGUGUGUCAAUUCCUUCGUAAGAGACCUUGGUAAGCGACAUUCCUCAUCCUCGCAUAGAGAGGAACGCCCGUCGUGAGUACGCACGUGACCCCAAUUACAACCCAGUGGGAGAAGAGGUGAAUUACUCAUCCAUGAUUAUAUGUUUCUAUAUUUUUAUGCCCCUCGGUAUAUGUGAAGAAUAAUACAUGUCUUUAUAUGAAUAGGAGGUGCUAUCUCGAUUGAAAGAAAUAGAGGAAAUCCUAUCCCAAGAAGAAGUUGCACAUGAAUGUGCACCUGAGCCGACGAUGGAGACGACCACCGAGACCCGGAACAAAAGGAAACGAGGUGAAAGGGGAUUGAAUUAGUUUCCAAAAGUAACCUAUAGAGUUACAGAUGUCAGUGCGAUAGGACAGCCCCUAGCUCUAGAGAAGACCUUACCCAAGUGGCGUAACACACUCGGUUUCUUAGUUAGGGACCAUCUUAACAUCAUAGUUAGGGAGUGGAAAAAUGUGAACAAAAAUAAGAACGCAAGAAUGUGGAAUAAGCUGCUUACGAGGUUUGUUUUACCUCAAGGUUUAGAAAACCUCUUGAAAAAGCACACAUUGAAGCAAUGGGCCAUCAUGUUCAGGAAUUACAAGUCUAAGUUGAAUUCAAAGUGGACAAAGAAAGGGUUAGACCCGACACAGAGGUAUAAAAUCUUGGCUAGUCAGUGGGCAGUGUUUCUAGAGCAGAGGAGUUCCGACGACUUCAAAGCUUUGAGCGAAGCCAAAUCCAAACUCGCAAAAAAGAACAAGUACCACCACCACCUAGGCACAGGUGGUUAUGUUGGGCAUUCUUAACAUCAUUAUCAAAAGUAGACUUAGUUUUCUAAUUCUGAUAACGGCGCCAAAAAUGCCAAACCUAUCCCUCAUGCCACUUAAGCCAAGUUGUCAUCCCCAGCAUGACAUGAGAGAGGCGGUAUUAAAAUAUGCAAUUGCUCUUCUGAAUGAAUAAUAAAUGAGAUCUGCAAGCGCACAGAUUAAUACCGAUGUAGCAUUUUAACCAGGAAGUAUUCUAGGUAUCGUUAUUUAUAUUUUUACCACUGGGAAGGGAUUGCUAAUCAUCAAUGUUGAUUAUGGAACGGAAUAUAGAAUUGAGUAUCUAUCAUUGCAUGUAUAAUUGAGAGCAUUAUCUAUCUCUUUCAUACAGGGAUAAAUGUCACAUAAAAGAUAUAGAUAAAAUAUGAAUGGUGACAAAGAUAAUUAAUCUGAUCAGCAUAACUAGCCACAUAUAAUAAUGAUAAGCACCUCAACAGAUAUUCUAGCAAGUCAUUAGCAUGGAAUUAGGAUGAACUAUAAGAAUAUUUCCUAAGUUAUUGUUAACUAUAAAGUCUACUAUAUCAUAGUUAGUACAAUUAUACUUGACAGAUCAUUGCGAGACAGGACUACGCCCAUGCAUAGUGAUAUUAUCAAGGAAGAUGAGAAACAUAGCAAUCACUGCCCUGUAAUAGUGUUGUUCUGCCUGCCCUAUACACGAGAGGGGGACUAUAUAAGAAUCAAUGGAGCUAUCACUACCAUGAACUACCCCGCGAUCCGGCAUAUAGGGUACAAUCGUAGAUAAAUACGGUAUAGGCACCACGCCUACACAAUACUUAUUAUUUACCCACUGUACACAUGGAUAAACGCUAUACGAUCCUAAACAUGUAUAUAAUUCCAAUCUAACUAAGCCAAGCAUAUAACUAUGAUAAACUAAGAACAAAUAAUUACAAAUAUAAACAAGUAGAGCAAAGUCAUAAUCAAUAUAUUGAAGUAGAACAAAGUCAUAUUCAUAAUAUUGAAGAACAAUGAUGAAUAAAUGAAGAACAGUAGAGUAAUUACCAAGAAUCCUCUUGACAGAUCCGGAAACCAAUCGAAGAUUGAAUCCUUCUAGUUCUAAUCCUAUGUAGAUAUGCUAAACUAGAGAUCUAUUUGAUGUGGUGGCUCUAGGGCUUGAUCAGAGGCUUCUUCUCCCAAGAUGAAUAAUGAAUUAGGGGUUAGAGGUCCUCUCCUCCAGGGGCCAGGGGGUCUGCUUAUAUAGUCCUUCCAAGUGAAUGUGGGCCGUUGGAUCAAACCGACAUUAAUCACAUGGUUUUCCUUGAUCCUUUAGGUCGGUGGAGCAUGAUCUGCGAAGUUGAAGCUGAUUGGCCCCGAGGCCAGGGCGGGCGCCCAAGGGGGGAGGGCGGGCGCCCUGCCCCCGAGCCUGUCCGGUCUCCAGUUCGUUCUCGUGGCUUCUGGACUCUUCUAGAUGUAGAAUAAUUGUGCGGCAUGUUAAUAUCUCUAUGUAAACCUGACGUGUGGGCCUUUCUUCCAUAUUUCCUGAUACCCCCCUACAGAAAUAGACAAACACUAAAACUCGUGGAAUUCUGUUAGAUAAAACCCUAAGUCUGGGUGUCGAUUGCAUUUGGAUCCUUUUCUUUGUUUAUUUGUUAAUUAAAUUUCAUACUUAAGGACCGUCAACAAACUCCCCCAAGCUUACCUCUUGCUCGUCCCUGAGCAAGGAUAGUCUCAGUGAUGGAUCGGAAGUUGUUGGAAUGCCUUUAAAAGUUGACGGUACAUAUGCUUUUAAAUGAGAUCUUAUCUUUGAGUUAGAGUAAACUAUCAAGACUUAAAACUUACUUAUUUUACCUUUCACCAUGUCAAGACUUAAAACUUACUUAAAACUUACUUAUUUUACCGUCACUUCUGUCUUGAGUAGUUAAAAGAUAGAACAGUCUAGUCAAGUGCCAUGUCUCUUAUUCUUAAUCAGCUAUAGUUCUGGAGUUUUUUGCAGAUUUUCAAAUGAAACUCAGAGAUUCCUUGUAUGAUUCUCUCAUAUCUCUCUUUUGUGGUAUUUCUGGAUCGUUACCAAGGUAGUGAUGGUACAUGCCUUCUCUCAAAAUAUGUAGUAUUUGUGGUAUGAGGCAUAGUGACAUUGCCUUCUCUCUCAUCCUACUCUAAUAAGGCUUUAAUAUCUGGAGCUCAUAGGUGGGAGAUAAAGUAUACAUACUUACAAGACAUUUAUUAUAUAGUCAAACCAUGAAUCCAGAGAAACAAGUCAAUAAGUCAAAUCAAGAUGUGCAUGUGUUGCGAAUGAAUGGUGUAUGGUAAUGAUGGUGAUAACAAUGGGAAAGUUUAAUUCUACUUUGCUCUUUUGGGGGAUACAUACAUUUCUUGCUCUUUUGAAACUUUUUGGAGAGAAUGAGAGGCUCUGUAUUUUCUUUUUCUUUCCUCUCAGGUGGGUAUCUUGUAACCCAAAUUCUACUGUCGGACACUUUUCCAUUUUUACCUCUCGUCUCACUUUUUCUUUUCUUCGAGGUUCUGGGCACUUGCCCCUUUUUGUUUCCUCAUAUCUCUUUUUUUAGAGCACUCAUCUCUUGAAAUAAUAUAGCAAGUGGUAGUAACCAAGAUAACUUGAGCAUUUAUUUUUCAGGGGAAAACAGAAAUGUUUUUGGCUAUUCUCUCCCGAAUUAGGAGUAGAAUACUUUUGAGUGGCUCUGGAGAUGAAAAUGAGUGGAUAUAUGUGGAUGCGUACUUCCGGAGUAGAAGCAGCAUGUGUCAGUGAAUGUGCAAGUGAAUCUUGAUUUAACCACAUGACAAGCUCCUAAGGGUCUACACAGCUUGACCACACUCAAUGCUCAUAAGCAGUAAAAGGUAUAUGUGUGGAUCAAAGUCUAGCAAGCAAGUAUAUAUGGCUGUGGUAGGAAUUUAAACUCUCAUCAUACAGGAACUCAUCAUGUAAUAUUUUAAAGAUUUUCAAAGAUAAAAUUCUCAAGAAUUCUAGCAUCUCUAGGAACACAUAAAUAGCAGCUCAUCCUUCCCAUAUCAUAUCCGUUAACAACUUAGACUUUAGAUCAAGUUCUCUUCCCACAAGUUCAGGUUUAGAGCAAGCUUUAAAUUAUAACAGUUAUGUCGAAUCUAGAGAGAGAACUCAAAUUUUAAAAUUAGGCAGAGCAACUAUUCAUCAUAUCCAUGCUAGAGUUUUAUUAUUAAGAUUUAGUUUAGCAUAGCCACUUUAUUUAUUUAUUAAGCAUACUAAGCAAAAGAUAUAUAUAUAUAUAUAUAAGCACAAAAUCUUUAUUUGGUUUUUCAUGGUUAUGUGUAUUUAUAUAUUAAUAUAGUAUAAGUAUAAAUAUGUAGAUAGAAAUACUUAGCGGGAUAAAUGGGGGUGCUCUCCCCCAAGCUGAAUUUUGACGUAAUUUCUUCUGAUGUAGCUAGAAGGUGGUGGAGGUGUAUUUGAAAGUCGACAGCACCCUGACAGCGAUUAGAAUGUCCUCCGUCUGCUAGUCUUCUUCAUUCUUGAAUUCUGUGGAGCUCAAAUAGACAACAAAGCUUUGUGGAACUGAUUAGGUGUUAGCAUAAACAUCUAGCCUUUAUCAUGUUGAGCCUCCUCAAUAAAUAUUACUUUCUAUUUAUAUAUUAUCAUUUUAUAGAGCAGAAAAAAUAUUUAUUCUAUUUUUAUGCCACCACAGUGAAUAAACUUAUGGGUUUUAUACCACUCGUAUACUCACAUGGGGCUUACUGUUUUUUAACAUUUUUAUUUUCUUUUUAGGAUAGUAUGAACAUGAUUAACUAAGAAAACUAUUUUAAAUAAUUAAAAGGAAAAGGGAACUACCAAGUUUACCUCUUGGCAAGGCAUUCGGUGUUUUUAAGUCCUUCGAAUGGGACUCUCUGUUUUCUUAGUUGUCUAGGAUACGUUGGGUGGCGUAGUCGGUGCUUCCGGCGUCGCCUCCUCUUUAUGUAUAGUUAUCUUCUCUCUCCACACCUGACUCGGUGCUACGGUCUCCUUAGGACAAUUCUGUUCAAGCUGUAUGUCUUCAGACCUUACUACUUCUCCUUCAUAGUCUGCCCAUCCGUCUUUGAUGAUUUGCCUCCUCUGAUUGUGGUUGCGUCAUCUUCUUCUUGUCCUGACCUGCUUAGAGUCUUCAACUAUAUAGUUAAGGUCAGUAAAAUAGCGGCGUACCUUCUCACACGGGAAGUGCAUAUGGACUUCUCCGGUUCUAAUGUGGAUGAUUGCUUUAACAGUGCUGAGGAACGGUCUCCCAAGGAUGAUGGGUGGACCGUACUCGUCUUCUCCCAUGUCAAUAACCUGAAAGUCUGUAUGGACAAAAUGAUCAUCUAUUUUGACAGGGACAUAAGUUACUGUACCUUCAACCUUUCGGAAUGUCUGAUCUGCCAUCUGCAGCUGAAUGUAUGUCGGUUUUAGGGGCAUGGUUCCGAACAAAAGCUGAUAGGUGACUGCGGCCAUUAUGUUGACGCCCGAUCUUGUGUCGCAAAGUGUCUUGUAGAAGUUGUACCCAUUAAUGGAGCAAUGAAUGCUUGGCAUACCUGGGUCGUCCUUCUUGGUUAGAAACGGUGACUUAAGUCGAUGAUCUCGACCUCCAUGAACUGCAGUGACCAUCUUAGCUGACUCGGUCCACACUUGCUUCUUCCUGUUCCUCCUGUUGGUCCUCUUCCUUGGUUCAUGUCGGGAUUGCUCUCGGAUUUCUGUAAUCUUGUUCUUGAAGAAAAACGUCUCCUUCCUCCCUUUGAUGUAGAAACUGAUCUUGGCAGCACUGGCGUAGAUGACAGCUCCUGAGGUGUUUAAGAAUGGCCUCCCUAAGAUGAUGAGUGCUCUCUCAUCAUUACCGGUCUCUAUCACCACGAAGUCUGCUGGGGCGUACAAGGUACCAACUCGGACACAGAGGUUCUUCAAUAUUCCCUUUGGGAAACUUAAUGCCUGAUCUGCAAACUGCAAACACAUGGUUGUUUCUAAUAAAGGAUAUGUAAGGAAUUUUUCAUAGAGUACCCUGGGCAUAAUGUUGACACUAGAGCCAAAGUUACAGAGUGCUUCUGGGAAGUCCACCAUGCCGAUGGAGAUCGGGAUGACGGGGCGUCCUGGAUCGCCUCUCUUGACCGGCAGAAGAUCAGUAGUAACUUCAGUGACGGGGUUUCUCCAGUAGUUACCUGCAUCAAACAUGUCUACAAGAUUUGCAGAUUCUAGUCCUCCGGUUGUGAUGGUAUAGCGGGGUUAGUAGCAGGAACAGCAGCAGCUAUUUGAUUUAACUGAGAUUCAAUCAUUUUAUUAAGCUAAUUUGAUUCUUGAUGGCAGUAGAGAAAUUAUCCAUUGUAUUAUUUAUAUUUUCUAACAUUUUAUCAUUCGAUGCCAAUUUCUUAGAUAGGUUAUCCAUUAGCUUUCCUUGAUUAGACACUAACUCUCUCAAAGGUGGAAGAUUAUUAUUAUUAUUAUUAUUGUAAGAAUUGUUACCUUGAUAAUUACCUGAGUAGUUAGGCCUCUGUUGAUUCCAACCUUGAUUUUGCUGAGGACGGUUGUAGUAAUUGUUGUUGUUGUUGUUGUUGAUGUAGUUCACGUCCUCAAGCAUCUCAGGGUAGUGAUUGCCUGAGUGUCCAGUAUCUCCACACUCCUCACAAGUCAUGUGAGAGUCGUAGACGUGCAUGACUUCUUUCUUAUCGCCAGCUCUAUCAUUGAGCUUCUUCAUGAGCAGGUCUAGCUUGGCAGAUGUUGGGUAUUCUUAACAUCAUUACCAAAAGUAGACUAAGUUCUCUUAAUCUAGUAACGGUGCCAAAAAUGCCAAACCUAUCCCUCACACCACUUAAGCCAAGUUGUCAUCCUCAGCAUGAUAUAAGAGACGCGGUAUUGAAAUAUGCAAUUGCUCUUCUAAAUAAAUAAUGAAUGGGAUCUGCAAGCGCACAGAUUAAUACCGAUGUAGCAUUUUAACCGGGAAGUAUUCCAGGUAUCGUUAUUUAUAUUUUUACCACUGGGAAGGGAUUAGCAAUCAUCAAUAUUGAUUACAGAAUAGAAUAUGAGAUUGAGCAUCUAUCAUUGCAUGUAUAAUUGAAAACAUAUAUCUAACUCAUUCAUACAGGGGUAAGUGUCACAUAAAAGAUAUAAGAAAUAAUAAUAGUGACAAGGAUAACUAAUCUGAUCUACCCACAUAAUAAAUAUGAUAAGCACCUCAAUUAGAUACUCUAGAAAGUCAUUAGCAUGGUAUUAGAACGAACUACAAGAAUAUUCCCUAAGUUAUUCUUAACUAUAUAGUCUAGCAUUGUCAUAAUUAGUGCAAGCAUACUUAGCAAUCAUUGCAAGACAAGACUACGCCCAUGCAUAGUGAUAUUAGCAAGGAAUAUGAGAAACAUAGCAAUCACUCCCCUGUAAUAAUGUUGCUCUGCCAGCCCAAUACACGAGAGGGGGACUAUAUAAGAAUCAAUGAAGCUAUCACUAUCACGAACCACCCCACGAUCUGGCAUAUUGGGUACAAUCGCAGAUUAAUACGGUAUAAGCACCAUGCCUACACAAUAUCUAUCAUUUACCCAUGGAUCCGAUGGAUAAACGCUAUACGAUCCUAAGCAUGUAUAUAGAUCCAAUCUAACUAAGCCAAGUACAUAACUAUGAUAAACUAAGAACAAUAUAAUAUUGAAUAUAAGCAAGUAGAGCAAAGUCAUAAGCAAUAUAUUGAAGUAGAACAAAGUCAUAUUCAUAAUAUUGAAGAACAAAGAUAAUUAGAAAGUAAUUAGAAGUACAAUUAGAGAAUUACCAAGAAUCCUCCUGACAGAUCCGGAAACCAAUCGAAGAUUGACUCCUUCUAGUUCUAAUCCUAUGUAGCUAUGCUAAUCUAGAUAUCUAAUUGAUGUGGUGGCUCUAAUCUUGAUCAGAGGCUUCUUCUCCCUUGAAGAACAAUGAAUUAGGGUUGAGAGGCUCUCUCCUCCAGGGCCCAGGGGGUCUGGUUUUAUAGUCCCUUCAAGUGAAUAUGGGCCGUUGGAUCAAACCGACUUAGAUUGUAUGGUUUAGAUUCAUCCUUUAGGUCGGUGGACAUCUCCCACGAAGCAGAGUCCUGAUUGGACUCCCAGAGGGGGCGGGCGCCCAGGGCAAGAGGGCGGGCGCCCUACCUCUGGCCCCGUUUCGCCUCCGCUUCGGUCUCGUGGCUUCUAGAGUCUUCUAGAUGUAAGAUAAUUGCGCGGAACGUUGAUAUCUCUAUGUAAUCCCGACGUGUGGGCCUUUCUUCCGUAUUUCCUGAUAACCCCCUGCAGAAAUAGACAAACACCAAAACUCGUGGAAUUCUGUCAGAUAAAACCCUAAGUCUAGAUGUUGAUUUCAUUUGGAUCCUUUUCUUUAUUUAUUUGAUAAUUAAAUUUGAUACUUAAGGACCGUCAACAGCAGACAGCAUGUCUACUUCCUUGAGUUGAUGCAUACCACCAGCUCUCUUGCGUGUUUGGGUCCUUUCUUCAUUCCAGCCUUGGUUGGACGCCAUCUUCUCCACAAGAGCUGUGGCUUGUGAUAUGGUGGGGGAUAAGAAUGCUCCUCCAGCUGCAGCAUCUACGGUCUCUCGGGCACUAUUGCCGAGCCUAUGAUAAAACGUCUGCAUCAGUAGCCAGCUCUCCAUUCCAUGAUGGGGACAUUCUAGGAUGUAGUCUUGGAAGUGCUCCCAUGCUUCUGGAAUGGAUUCAUCAUGUUGUUGUUGAAAACUUGUAAUUUUCCCACGGAGAGCAUUGGUCUUGCCCAUGGGAAGGAACUUAGCCAGAAAGUUCAUGGAGUGGGGUGCCCACGUAGUAUUCUUCUCCUUUGUAGCGUAGAACCACUGUUUCGCUCUCCCCAACAGUGAGAAUGGGAAGAGGCGAAGUAGUAUAGCAUCUGUGGGGACUCCCGAUAUGGUGAAUGUGAUGCAAAUCUCCAGGAAGUGUUGGAAAUGAGCACUAGCAUCUUCGUGUGCCUUCCCACAGAACUGGUUGGAUUGCACCAUGUUGAUGAGCCCAGACUUGAGCUCAAAGUUGCCGUCGAUCUCUGCAGCAGGUCCAGUGCGGAUGUUGUUCGUAGUGGGAGCUGAGAACUCGCGGAUCGAUUUGUUCGCCAUAACUUUGAACUCUGAAGACAAGUUCCGGGUGAAACUUUGGUGAUCUUCUUGGUUGGAUGAAGCUUUGUGCUGAAGUGUUGUCGAUCUCUUCUUGAGCUUGGCUCCUGUUUUUCUGAAUAAUGCUUCGAGAUUGUCAACAAAAUUCCUAGAAGAUGUCUUCUAUUCAUACAUUACCCUGCAUAAAAUAAUCAAGAUAGAACAAUACUGGGGUAAAACUGUAUGAGAUAAUUGAUAAUCUUGAUCAUAUUAGUGAUGCGAAUGAUGACUCAAAAUUCCAUAUUCAUUCCAGAUUAGUAAUCAACCUUCCCCGGCACCAAAAAUACUUGUUGGGCAUUCUUAACGUCAUUACCAAAAGUAGACUUAGUUUCCUAAUUCUGAUAACGGCGCAAAAAAUGCCGAACCUAUCCCUCAUGCCACUUAAGCCAAGUUGUCAUCCCCAGCAUGACAUGAGAGACGCGGUAUUGAAAUAUGCAAUUGCUCUUCUGAAUGAAUAAUAAAUGAGAUCUGCAAGCGCACAGAUUAAUUCCGAUGUAGCAUUUUAACCGGGAAGUAUUCCAGGUAUCGUUAUUUAUAUUUUUACCACUGGGAAGGGAUUGCUAAUCAUCAAUGUUGAUUAUGGAAUGGAAUAUAGAAUUGAGUAUCUAUCUGUCAUGGGUAUCAGUAAGGGGUACCCUGACUGACGCACAUGACGAGAGCACCCGUACGCAAAUCAAGGGCCCCUGACUCGACGCCCCCCGGUCGCACGCACAGUUAUCGACGCCCGUAGCCUCGAACGCGGAAAGAGCGUCGUGCGAAUCGAGUGGGGCUCGAGCGCCGGCUACGGUCGAAUACGGAAACAGGCUCGUACGAAUCGAAAGGCCUCGAGCGCAAGGACACCGCCCGCCGCCUGACGCGGGCACGGGAACUAGGGCAUUUAAUGCGCGUGCCGUGUUCUCACCUACCCGUCAGUCACGAGAAGUGUGAUAGGAAACCAGCACCCGUCCAAUCGUUCUUUUUGUAGCCAUGCCCACCAAACGAGCCAGAGCAUGGCAGGGAGCAGCGAGGUGGUCAAAAUGUCCCGUCAAGACCCCCCUCGAGACAUCCAAAGUCAGCGCUCCGCUCAGUAAGGCUUUAAGCUACGUUUGACCCUCGAGCAGGCAUGUUCCUUCCCAGAGAAGGAUCGAGCGACGAAUGACAGCACCUCAACCACCCCGACGUAGCUGCAACCACAACGUACAAGCAUGCAAUAGAUAAACCAGUCCAGGACAGCGCACAGGAGCGGGAUUCAGGGGCAUGCGUAAUCAUCAUCAAGGUACCGAGACAAGACGGCUUGAGGCCACGCCGGUACGGAGGCCUCAAGUAGGUCAGCGCACCGCACCCCUAUCGACCCCUACUCUGUCGCCUAUGCAUGUAACCUAGGCCUCCCCUUGGAACUAUAAAAGGGGACGCUCAAGAGCGGAUAGAGAAGGCAAGAUAUACGCAGUAGAGAAACCAUACUCCAUCUCCAUCCAUACCAUGCCUGUAUUCACCCCUGUACAAGCACUUAGGUGCAAGAUAAUAGAAACUUCUCCCCCCCCCCCGCUGGACAUAGGGCCUUCUCUUGCCCGAACCAGGAUAAAUCCUUGUGUCUUUUCUUGCAUCACCGUCUAGAAAGGGGAGCACGCACUAGUUUUACUCGUUGGUGUGACCCCCCGGGGAGAAAACACCGACAGUUGGCGCGCUAGGUAGGGGUCCUGCGUGUUUUUCACCAAUUUCCCAUCUCUUUCAAGAUGGCCACUCUUGUUUCGCUGAUUCUGCGCUCCACGGUGAUUUGGUUCGGUAGCCUCGAGUUUAUGUCAACCGGUUUCGGCUACGAUAUGAUCCUGCUCUCGGUCAAAGGACCGGGGGGAGCUCGCGUUGCGCCCGCACGGUUGAGGGCUCCAAGACGGCCUCGCCACCAUGCCUCCCCACCCAAGAAGAGGCGUGGACAGCGCCACCAUCACUCCUCUGCCUCCUCACGAACGCCAGUUCGUGCCAGGCGGGUGUUGACGUAGGAGCCGACAGCCCCGCGCGCCGAAACCGCGGGCAUGACGGCCCGACACCACGACGAUCGCGCGACGACGAUUGGAGACGACGCGCCUUGCACGCUCACAUCCCCCACGACGCUACUUCCGCACGGGUUGUUCACCCCAAGAAGAGCGCUGCCGUUCGGUCUGGACAACACCGCGGCAUCGCUUGCUAGGACGAUAUGUCCAAACGCCCAGACGUACGUAGAGCGACCAAUGGUCCUCCCACGUGACGCAGGACCACGGCAACAAGCGUCCGAACUACCGGAUUUCUCCCAUGUACGAGGCCUCCGCCGCCUAGAACCUGGGAGAUACACGAUCACGUCACUCAGGCAACGGCUGCUGGAGGAAGGACGUGGAUGCUUCUACGCAGCAGAGCCAGAUUCUGGCUCAGAGUCCGACAGCUACGACCCUACUAUGGAAUGCUUCCACAUCGACGGGGCGGUAGAAACCACCGACGAAACACAAGACGCCGUCGCUGGCGGUCGAGCCCCUGUAGCAAGGGAGGACCCCAGGACGCCUGGGAAUGAUGGUCAAGUCGACCCCCCGUCGCAGGAAGACAGAGCCGCGCAACUCGCGCAGCUACGGGAGCUCUAAAUGAAGCUCGACGAAGAUCGCGAGCGCCUCGUCUCGAAUAGAUUCUCAAGCAGGACCAACCAUACCCACCUGGCAGAAGUGUUCGUAGACGGGCCCGAGAAGUGCAUCGACAGAUCGUCGAAGACGAGGAGCCGGAGUAGCCCGUCAGCUGCUUCCCCCGAGCAGGCCAAAACUUCGUCGCAGCAAUAAUGCUGCUACGCAACAUGCCUGAGCCCUCGAACUCCCAGGCGCGGUGAAUUCGAGACGAGGUGCAGACUCUGCUCCAAGUAGCGGCAGUUCAGCAGGCUGAGAGCUCAGCCUCUCGACGUCGAGGAGCAGCCACGGAAAAGCGUGAGGAGCCAGCCCAGAACGAAAAGGAGAUAUCGGUCCAUCAGCAACCACCCCCUCGAGGGAAGAAGACAGCGCUUGUCCUCAACCACCCCGUCGACAAUCAACGGCGGCACGACGCACGACGCGACAUCGACUUGCAUCGCCACCGUCGAUAUGGGGACGCAGAGGAACGCGGUUACAGCGCCCACCGCGGCGGGCGGUACGACAGCGACGAGGACCGGAUGGCCUCAGAACCGCCGGGCCUCACGUGUUCAGCAGAGCAAUCGGCAACACACCGCUGCCCAGCCCGUUUCGACCCCUGACUAGCAUUGCUAAAUACAACGGCGAGACCAAGCCAGAGCUGUGGUUGGCAGACUUCCGGUUAGCCUGUCAGUUAGGAGGCGCUCGAGGGGACGAUCGAGCUAUCUUCCGACAGUUACCGCUUUUUCUCUCCGACACCGCCCGUAGAUGGCUCGAGGAGCUCCUGUCCCACCAGAUCCACGAUUGGGUCGAUUUGGUCAGAGUAUUCGAGGGUAACUUCAAGGGGACCUACAUACGGCCCGGCAACUCGUGGGACCUUAGCAAGUGCAAGCAGAAGUCAGGAGAAACUCUCCAAGAGUAUGCUCGACGCUUCUUGAAGCAGCGCACCGAGCUGCCACACAUCCCAGACCACGACGUCAUCCUGGCCUUUGUCUCGGGCACCACCAUCUGAGAUUUGGUGCGGGAGUUAGGCCGGAAUCGCCCUCAUACCGUCGACGAGCUGAUGGACAUAGUGGCAAACUACGCUGUAGGGGAGGAAGCGGUCGGUGCUUUCUUCAGCUGCGAAGGGGGCAAAGGCAAGUCGCCAGCCGAUGACGAUGAGGGCCCCAGUCGAGGACCCAAGAAGAACAAGAAGAAGAAGAAAGCACGGUCGUUCCGACGGGAGGCCCUCGACGACGACCUCGUCGCCGCCAUGGAUCGUAAAAGACCUCGAGGCCUCUUGAAGGAGCUAUCUUCGACAAGAUGCUGAAGGAGCCCUAUCCUUACCAUAAGGGAGGGGGAACCACAAGCUCGAGGACUGCCGUAUGCUGAAGAGGCAUUUCGACGGCCUGGGGUUCAAGAAGGACGACCAGAAGAAAGAAAAGAGCAGUGACAUUUGGGAUGACAAAGAAGACAAGGGUUUCCCGGCUGUCCACGACUGCUACAUGAUUUAUGGCAGAACCUCGACGCAGCUAACUGCAAGGCAGCGCAAGUGGGAGCGCCGUGAGGUCUUUGCAGCAAGGAUGGCGGUACCCCAGUACCUUAACUGGUCGAGCACCCCCAUCACCUUCAAUCAAGACAACCAUCCCGACAAAGUAGUCGCCCCUGGCGUCUACCCACUCGUCGCUGACCCCAUCAUCGUCAACGCCAGACUCUCGAAGGUACCGAUGGAUGGCAGCAGCAGCCUGAACAUCAUCUACCUCGAGACCCUCGACCUCCUCGGCAUCAAAAGGACGCAGCUCCAACCAAGCGCGGGCCGUUUCCAUGGUGUCGUGCCUAGAAAGAAGGCAUUGCCGGUAGGUCGAAUCGACCUACCGGUCUGUUUUGGCACGGUAGCCAAUUUCAGAAAGGAGGUCCUCACCUUCAAGGUGGUGGGAUUCCGAGGCACGUACCACACCAUCAUCGGACGUCCGGGCUAUGCCAAGUUUAUGGCUGUCCCCAACUACACCUACUUAAAGCUGAACAUGCCUGGGCCCAAGGGGGCUAUCACUGUCAGCUCCUCCUACGAGCACGCGUACGAAUGCGAUGACGAGUGCGUCGAGUACGGGGAAGCUGUCGAGAACUCCACCGAGCUUGCCUUGAAGCUCGAGGCCCUGGCCGCAGAGGCUCCAGAGCCCAAGAGUCACGCAGGUAGCUUCGAGCCGGCAGAAGGGACAAAGAAGAUCCCACUCGACCCCAACGGCUCCGACGGCAAGGUGCUUACGAUCAGCGCCGACCUCAACCCCAAAUUGGAAGUCGUGCUCGUCGACUUUCUCCGUGCAAACGCCGACAUAUUUGCAUGGAGUCCCUCAGACAUGCCAGGCAUACCGAGGGAAGUCGUCGAGCACUCUUGGAAAUUCGAGCCGGUUCCAAGCCAGUGAAACAACAGUUGCGUCGCUUCGACGAGGAGAAACGCAAGAUCAUUGGUGAGGAGACCCACAAGCUUUUGACGGCCAGAUUCAUCAAGGAGGUUCACCAUCCCGACUGGUUAGCAAACCCUGUAUUAGUUAAGUAAAAGAACGGGAAAAUGUGGAUGUGUGUCGAUUAUACAAGUUUAAAUAAAGCAUGUCCAAAAGUUCCGUUUCCAUUGCCACGUAUCGAUCAAAUUGUUGAUUCUACCGCAGGAUGCGAAAACCUUUCUUUCCUUAAUGCAUACUCUGGCUACUAUCAAAUAAAAAUGAAAGAAUCCGACCAGUUCGCGACGUCUUUCAUUACGCCUUUUGGGAUGUACUGCUAUGUGACCAUGCCGUUCGAGCUUCGAAAUGCUAGGGUGACAUACUAGCGAUGCAUGCUCCAUGUAUUUGGCAAGCACAUAGGGUCGACAGUCGAGGCAUACGUCGACGACAUCGUCGUCAAGUCAAAGAAACAAGGAGACUUGAUCCAGGACCUCGAGAUCGCUUUCAGUUGCCUGCGUGCCAACAAGAUCAAUUUCAACCCCGAGAAAUGCGUCUUUGGUGUACCUCGAGGCAUGCUCCUGGGAUACAUAGCCUCCCAAUGCGGCAUCGAGGCUAAUCCCGAGAAAGUCUCGGCCAUCACGAAAAUGGGGCCGAUCCGAGACGUCAAGGGAGUGCAAAAAGUCACGGGAUGUUUGGCGGCGCUAAGUCGUUUUAUCUCGAGGUUGGGAGAAAAGGCAUUGCCACUGUAUCGGCUCUUGAAAAAAGCCGAGCAUUUCUCUUGGACCCCCGAAGCCGAGGAAGCCCUUGAUAACCUGAAGAAAACACUGACCUCAGCCUCGGUCCUAGUCCCACCUCAGCCCGCAGAGCCUCUGCUUCUGUAUGUUGCCUCGACGACCCAGGUGGUCAGUGCAGUAGUGGUGCUUGAAAGACAGGAAGAAGGACAUGCGCUGCCAGUCCAGAGGCCAGUCUACUUCGUCAGCGAGGUGCUCUCAGAGACCAAGGUACGGUAUCCACAUAUCCAAAAACUAAUCUACGCGGUGAUCCUCGCCCGACGCAAGCUGCAACACUACUUCCUCGGCCACCCUAUCACGGUGGUCUCGUCCUUCCCCUUGGGUGAGAUCAUCCAAAGUCGGGAGGCCACGGGAAGAAUCGCCAAAUGGUCAGUCGAGCUCAUGAGUGAGACCCUCACUUAUGCGCCCCGCAAAGCCAUCAAGUCUCAAGCUCUGGUGGAUUUCAUCGCGGAAUGGACAGAAUCCUAGCUCCCACAAGCUCAAGUUCAAGCAGAGCUAUGGACUAUGUACUUCGACAGGACUCUCAUGAAGACGGGGGCUGGGGCGGGUCUGCUGAUCAUCUCGCCCCUCGGCAUCCAUAUGAGGUAUGUCAUCAGAAUACAUUUUGCCGCAUCCAACAACGUCACAGAGUACGAGGCCCUUGUCAACGGGCUAAAGAUCGCCAUCGAGCUAGGAGUCCGGCGCCUCGACAUUCGAGGCGACUCCCAACUCGUCAUCGACCAAGUGAUGAAGGCUUCCAAUUGCCACGACUCAAAAAUGGAGGCAUACUGCAAGGAGUUACGAAGGCUCGAGGACAAGUUCCACAGCCUCGAGCUCAUCCACAUCGCCCGACGCUACAACGAGGCGGCCGACGAGCUCAUGAAAAUCGUGUCGACUCGAAGCACGGUCCCGCCUGAUGCAUUCUCAAGGGAUCUGCAUGAGCCAUCCGUCGACUUGGGCUCGGGGGCUGACGUCGAAACAACCGCCCACCACCAAACUGACGCCAUCGACACCCUGCUAGUGGCAGCAGAAGUAAUGGAGGCGGAACAGCGACCCGGUCGACCGUUCGACUAGUGCACGUCGUUCCUCGAUUGCUUGAUUCGAUGCGAGUUACCAGAAGAUCGAUCCGAGGCCUGCCGUAUCGCUCGACAGGCCAAAUCAUACAUAAUCUAUGGCAAAAAUAAGGAACUAUAUUGACGAAGCCCGACAGGGAUCUUGCAGCGAUGUAUCACCAUAGAAGAACGCCGAAAGCUCCUCGAGGAUCUACACUCGGGGGCUUGUGGCCACCACGCUUCUCCACGGACCCUCAUAGGGAAUGCUUUCCGACAAGGCUUCUACUGGCCAACGGCCGUAGCCGACGCCAUCGAGCUCGUACGCUCAUGCCAUGGGUGCCAGUUUUACGCCAAGUAGAUGCAACUUCCCGCUCAUGGUCUCCAGAUGAUCCCCAUCACAUGGCCAUUCGCGGUAUGGGGACUCGACCUCGUAGGGCCUCUCCAGAAAGCAGCAGGAGGAUACACCCAUCUGCUGGUGGUCGUUGACAAAUUAUCCAAAUGGAUUGAGGCUCGACCCAUCACAAACAUCCGCUCUGAGCAAGCCGUCCUUUUCUUCACCGACAUCAUCCACCGAUUUGGGAUUCCCAACGUCAUCAUCACCGACAACGGCACUCAGUUUAUCGGCAAAAAGUUCUUGGACUUCUGUGACCGGCAUCACAUCCGUGUGAACUGGUCCGCAGUGGCCCACCCUCGAACUAACGGCCAGGUCGAGCGUGCAAAUGGCAUGAUAUUGCAAGGGCUCAAACCAAGAAUCUACAACCGGUUGAAGAAAUUCGGCAAGAAAUGGGUCGAAGAGCUCUCUUUGGUCCUAUGGAGCUUAAGGACGACGUUGUUGGGUAUUUUAAACGCAAACAGAAAAAACUGCAAGCGCACGGAUAUCGAUGUAGCCUUCACCCGGGAGUAUUCCAGAGUAUCGAUUUUCCACAGAGAAUGUGAGUGUACUAAUUAAGAUCCAAGAUCGCCCAAGGAGAACUAUAUAAUUAUUUUUGGUGGGAAGAGAGGAUGUUUCCUGAGAGUUCUCUAGUUGAUCUAAGAAUCAAGAAUUACUUCAAGAUUAUCUAUUUCGGGACAUCAGAAGGAGGCUAGGAAGGUCUGACUACGGUCCUACAAACACCGAUCCGAACGAGGUGGAAUACGUCGACCGUUAGGGCUGUCACUACCCUAAGGCUACCACAACAAUCCGCAGGAUUGGGUGCAAUUCCAAGUAACCGCAAGACUAAACACCACGUCUAAUCUAUUAAUUACUACUCUAGCGUUAUAAAGACUAGAGCACUUGAUGCAAGCGGGAAUCCAAUAAAUAACUUGAAUGUAAAUAAAAGUAAUUAAAGAACUCAGGAAUUAUGAAUUGAAGAACCUGGAGAACGAUGAAGAACGAACCAGAUGCUGCAAAAGUAUAAUGUUGAGGAAGAUCCGACAGAUCUGGCUCCUCCUCCGCUCUCCUCUUCUCUCCCUAUUUUCUAGAUUACAACUAGAACUAACUAGAACUAGAACUAGAGGAACUAGAACUAGAUGAACUAGAACUAGAACUAGAUGAACUAGAGGUAGAACUAGAAGAACUAGAGGGAUCCUCUCUACUUGGAUGAAGAAUUGAAACCCUAGCUUUGAUUCUGUAGAAGAGGUAUGAUCUCCAGGGGCCAGAGGGUCUGGUUAUAUAGUCUUUUCAGAUGAAUCUGUGCCGUCAGAUCAAACCGACAUUAAUCGCACGGUUUUCCUUGAUCCUUUAGGUCGGUGGAGCAUAAUCCGCGAAACGUGUCCUGAUUGGGCACUGUAGCUGGGCGGGCGCUCAGGAGAGUAGGGCGGGCGCCAUGUCCCUGAGUCCUCUCGGCCUCCACUUCGGUCCCGAGGCUUCUGGAGUCUUCAAGAUGGUAGAUAAUUGCACGUCAAGUUUGUUGGGUAUUCUUAACAUCAUUGCUAAAAGUAGACUAAGUUCUAAAUCUAGCAACGGUGCCAAAAAUGCCAAACCUAUCCCUCACACCACUUAAGCCAAGUUGUCACAGAAUAUCUCAUAGAGUACCCUGGGUAUAAUGUUGACGCUAGAGCCAAAGUCACAGAGUGCUUCUGGAACGUCCACCAUGCCGAUGGAGAUCGGGAUGACGGGGCGUCCUGGAUCGCCUGUCUUGACCGGCAGACGGUCAGUAGAAAAUUUAGUGACGGGGUUACUCCAAUUACCUGCAUCAAACAUGUCUACAAGAUUUGCAGAUUCUAAUCCUUCCGGUUGUGAUGGUAUACCGGGGUUAGUAGUAGGAACAGCAGCAGCUAUUUGAUUUAACUGAGAUUCAAUCAUUUUAUUAAAGCUAAUUUGAUUCUUGAUGGCAGUAGAGAAAUUAUCCAUUCUAUUAUUUAUAUUUUCUAGCAUUUUAUCAUUUGAUGCCAAUUUCUUAGACAGGUUAUCCAUUAGCUUUCCUUGAUUAGACACUAACUCUCUCAAAGGUGGAAAAUUAUUAUUAUUGUUGUAAGAAUUGUUACCUUGAUAAUUACCUGAGUAGUUAGGCCUCUGUUGAUUCCAACCUUGAUUUUGUUGAGGACGGCUGUAGUUGUUGUUGUUGUUGUUGAUGUAGUUCACAUCCUCAAGCAUCUCAGGGCAGUGGUUGCCUGAGUGUCCAGUGUCUCCACACUCCUCACAAGUCAUGUGAGAGUCGUAGAUGUGCAUAACUUCUUUCUUGUCUCCAACUCUAUCGUCGAGCUUCUUCAUGAGCAGGUCUAGCUUUGCAGACAGCAUGUCUACCUCCUUCAGCUGAUGCAUACCUCCACCUCUCUUGCGUGUCUGGGUCCUCUCUUCAUUCCAGCUUUGGUUGGACGCCAUCUUCUCCACAAGAGCUGUGGCUUGUGGUAUAGUAAGUGAUAAGAAUGCUCCUCCAGCUGCAGCAUCCAUGGUCUCUCGGGCACUGUAGCUGAGCCCAUGAUAGAAUGUCUGCAUCAGUAGCCAACUCUCCAUUCCAUGAUGGGGACAUUCUAGGAUGUAGUCUUGAAAGCGCUCCCAUGCUUCUGGAACAGAUUCAUCAUUUUGUUGCUGAAAACUUGUAAUCUUCCCACGGAGAGCAUUGGUCUUGCCCGUGGGAAAGAACUUAGCCAGGAAGUUUGUUGAGUAGAGUGCCCACGUAGAAUUCUUCUCCUUUGUAGCGUAGAACCACUGCUUCGCUCUUCCUAACAGUGAGAAUGGGAAGAGGCGAAGUAGUAUAGCGUCUUUGGAAACUCCUCCUAUGGUGAAUGUGUUGCAAAUCUCCAGGAAGUGUUGUAAAUGAGCACUAGCGUCUUCGUGUGCCUUCCCACAGAACUGGUUGGAUUGCACCAUGUUGAUAACUCCAGGCUUGACCUCAAAGUUGCCAUCGAUCUCUGCAGCAGGUCCAGUGCGGAUGUUGUCCGUAGUGGGAGCUGAGAACUCGCGGAUUGAUUUGUUCGCCAUGGCUUCGAACUCUGAAGACAAGUUCCGGUGAUCUUCUUGAUUGGAUGAAGCUUCUUCGUGAAGUGUUGAUGAUUUCUUUAGCUUGGCUCUCGUCUUCUUGAAUAAUGCUUCAGGAUUGUCAACAAAAUUUCCUAGAAGAUGGCUUCUAUUCAUACAUUCCCCUGCAUAAGAUAAAAUAGAAAAAUAUCAGGGUAAAACUGUAUGAGAGAAUAGAUAAGCUCAAUCAUAUUAGUGAUGCGAAUGAUAACUCAAAAUCUUUUAUUCCAUUCCUGAUUAGUAAUCAACCUUCCCCGGCAACGGCGCCAAAAAAUGCUUGUUGGGUAUUCUUAACAUCAUUGCUAAAAGUAGACUAAGUUCUAAAUCUAGCAACGGUGCCAAAAAUGCCAAACCUAUCCCUCACACCACUUAAGCCAAGUUGUCAUUCCCAGCAUGAUAUAAGAGACGCGGUAUUGAAAUAUGCAAUUGCUCUUCUAAAUAAAUAAUAAAUUGGAUCUGCAAGCGCACAGAUUAAUACCGAUGUAGCAUUUUAACCGGGAAGUAUUCCAGGUAUCGUUAUUUAUAUUUUUACCACUAGGAAGGGAUUAGCAAUCAUCACAAUUGAUUACAGAAUAGAAUAUGAGAUUGAGCAUCUAUCAUUGCAUGUAUAAUUGAGAACAUUAUAUCUAACUCUUCAUACAGGGAUAAGUGUCACAUAAAAGAUAUAUGAAAUAAUAAUAGUGACAAGGAUAACUAAUCUGAUCUAGCCACAUAAUAAAUAUGAUAAGCACCUCAAUUAGAUACUCUAGAAAGUCAUUAGCAUGGUAUUAGAACGAACUACAAGAAUAUUCCCUAAGUUAUUCUCAACUAUAUAGUCUAGCAUAUCAUAGUUAGUGCAAGCAUACUUAGCAAUCAUUGCGAGACAAGACUACGCCCAUGCAUAGUGAUAUUAGCAAGGAAUAUGAGAAACAUAGCAAUCACUCCCCUGUAAUAAUGUUGCUCUGCCAGCCCAAUACACGAGAGGGGGACUAUAUAAGAAUCAAUGAAGCUGUCACUAUCACGAACCACCCCACGAUCUGGCAUAUUGGGUACAAUCGCAGAUAAAUACGGUAUAAGCACCACGCCUACACAAUAUCUAUCAUUUACCCAUGGAUCCGAUGGAUAAACGCUAUACGAUCCUAAGCAUGUAUAUAGAUCCAAUCUAACUAAGCCAAGUACAUAACUAUGAUAAACUAAGAACAAUAUAAUCUUGAAUAUAAGCAAGUAGAGCAAAGUCAUAAGCAAUAUAUUGAAGUAGAACAAAGUAAUAUUCAUAAUAUUGAAGAACAAAGAUAAUUAGAAAGCAAUUAGAAGCACACUUAGAGAAUUACCAAGAAUCCUCUUGACAGAUCCGGAAACCAAUCGAAGAUUGACUCCUUCUAGUUCUAAUCCUAUGUAGCUAUGCUAAUCUAGAUAUCUAAUUGAUGUGGUGGCUCUAAUCUUGAUCAGAGGCUUCUUCUCCCUUGAUGGAACAAUGAAUUAGGGUUGAGAGGCUCUCUCCUCCAGGGGCCAGGGGGUCUGAUUUUAUAGUCCCUUCAAGUGAAUAUGGGCCCUUGGAUCAAACCGACAUAGAUUGUAUGGUUUAGAUUCAUCCUUUAGGUCGGUGGAGACUUCCCGCAAAGCAGAGUCCUGAUUGGACUUGGGAGCAGGGCGGGGGCCCAGUAGGACAGGGCGGGCGCCCUGUCUCUGGCCCCGAUUCGCCUCCGCUUCGGUCUCGUGGCUUCUGGAGUCUUCUAGAUGUAAGAUAAUUGCGCAGCACGUUUAUACCUUUACGUAAUCCUGACAUGUGGGCCUUUCUUCCAUAUUUCCUGAUAACCCCCUGCAGAAAUAGACAAACACCAAAACUCGUGGAAUUCUGUCAGAUAAAACCCUAAGUCUGGAUCUUGAUUUCAUUUGGAUCCUUUUCUUUAUUUAUUUGAUAAUUAAAUUUCAUACUUAAGGACCGUCAACAAAGUUAAUAUCCCUAUGUAAACCCGAUGUGUGGACCUUUCUUCCGUAUUUCCUGAUAACCCCCUGCAGAAAUAGACAAACACCAAAACUCGUGGAAUUCUGUCAGAUAAAACCCUAAGUCUAGGUGUUAGUUGCAUUUGGAUCCUUUUCCAUGAUUAAUUGAUGGUUAAAUGUGAGCAUUAAGGACCGUCAACAAGCUCCCCCAAGCUUAACCUUUGCUCGUCCCUGAGCAAAGAUGGGCUCAAGUGUUUCUGCAGUGGUUUCAUGCCUUAAAGAUACACAUGCAUUCAAAUAAGAUCUUAUCUCUGGGUUAUGGUAAACAGUUAAGAUUUAAACUUACUCAUUUUACCUUCCACCAUGGGGCUUGUAACCGUCACUUGUGUCUUGAGCAGUUAAAAGAUAGAACGGUCUAGUCAAGCACCAUGUCUCUUGUUCUUCGAUUAACUAUAGCUCUGGAGUUUUUGUAGAUUUUCAAAUAAAACUCAGAGAUUCCUUGUAUGACUCUCUCUAGUCUCUCUUUUGUGGUAUUUCUGGAUCCUUACCAAGGCAGUAAUGGUAUAUGCCUUCUCUCAAAGUAUGUGGUAUUUUUGGUAUGAGGCAUAGUGGCAUUGCCUUCUCUCUCACCCUACUCUAAUAAGGCUUUGAUAUCUGGAGCUCAUAGGUGGGAGACAGCUAAUACAUACUUACAAGACAUUUAUUGCAUAGUCAAACCAUGGAUCCAGAAGAACAAGUCGAUAAGUCAAAUCAAGAUGUGCAUGUGUGGCGAAUGAAUGGUGAUAAUGGUGAAAGUAAUGGUGAAAGUCUAAUUCUACUUUUGCUCUUUUGAGGGGGUUCAUACCUUUCUUGCUCUUUUGAAACUUUUUGAGGAGAAUGAGAUGCUCUAUAUUUUCUUUUUCUUUUCUCUCAGUUGGGUAUCUUGUACCCCUAAUUCUACUGUCGGACACUUGUCCAUUUUUACCUCUCGUCUCACUUUUUCUUUUCUUCCGAGGUUCCGGGCACUUGCCCCUUUUUAUUUCCUCGUAUACUUUUUAUUGUUUUCUUUUCUUUUCUUUUUUUAGAGCACUCAUCUCAUGAGAUAAUAUAGCAAGUGGUAGUAACAAGAUAACUUGAGCAUUUAUUUCACAGGGGAAAACAAAAAUAUUUCUGGCUAUUCUCUCCCAGAUUAGGGUAGAAUAUUUUUGAGUGGUUCUGGAGAUGGAAAUGGAUAUAUGUGGAUGGUACUUUUGGAGUAGAAGUAGCAUGUGUGAGUGAAUCUUGAUUUAACCACUUGACAAGCUCCUAAGGGUCUACACAGCUUGACCACACUCAAUGCCCAUAAGCAGUAAAAAGUAAAUGUGUCGCUCAAAGUCUAGCAAGCAUGUAUAUAUGGCUGUGGUAGGAAUUCAAACUCUCAUCAUACAGGAACUCAUGAUGUGAUAUUUUAAAGAUUUUCAAAGAUAAAAUUCUCUAGAAUUCUAGCAUCUCUAGGAACAGAUAAACAGUAGCUCAACCUUCCCAUAUCAUAUCCAUUAACGACUUAGAUUUUAGAUCAAGUACUCUUCCCACAAGUUUAGGUUUAGAGUAAAUAUUAAUUAAUAACAGUCAUGGCUAAACAUGAGAGAGAUUUCAAUUUUGAAAAUUAAUCAUGGCAGAGCAACUAUUCAUCAUUUCCAUGUGAGAGCUUAUCAUGAGGGUUCAUAGCAAAUUUUAUUUAUUUAUUUAUUUAGCAAACUAAGCAAAGAUAUAUAUAUAUAAGCACAAAAUAUUUAUUUGGGUUUUUAUGAUUAUGCAUCUUUUUAUUAUUAGAGUAAAGUAUAAAUGUGAGUAGAAUACUUAGCUGGAUAAAUGGGGGUGCUAGCCCCAAGCUGGAUUUGAUGCAAUUUCUUCUGAUAUAGCUAGCAGGUGGCGGAGGUGCAUUUGAAUGUCGGCAGCACCCUGACAGUGAUUAGGAUGUCCUCCGUCUACUAGUCUUCUUUGAUCCUUGAAUUCUGUGGAGCUCAAAUAGACAACAAAGCUUUGUGGAACUGGUUAAGUGUUAGCAUAAAUAUCUAGCCUUUAUCAUGUUGAGCCUCCUCAAUAAAUGUUACUCUCUUUAGUAGGAUCAUAAUUUUAUUUUUAUAAUUUUAUUUUUAUAGGACAGGAAUAUAUUUAUUUUAUUUUUACGCCACCACAGUGAAUGUACUUAUGGGUUUUAUGCCAUGAGUAUACUCACAUGGGGCUUACUAUUUUUAACAUUUUUAUUUUCUUUUCAAGAUGAUAUGAACCUGAUUAACUAAGCAAACUAUUUUAAAAUAAUUAAAAGGAAAAAGAUAACUACCAAGUUUACCUCUUGGCAAGGCGUUUGGUGUUUUUAAGUCCUCCGAACGGGACUCUCCAUUUUCUCAGUUGUCCUGGGAUUCGCUGGAUGGCGUAGUCGGUGGUUCCGGCGGUGCUUCCUCUUCGUGUAUAACUAUCUUCUCUCUCCACACCUGACUCGGUGCUACGGUCUCCUCAGGACAGUUCUGUUCAAGUUGUAUGUCUUCAGACCUUACCACUUCUCCUUCGUAGUCUGCUCAUCCGUCCUUGAUGAUUUUGCCUUCUCUGGUUGUGGUUGCGUCGUCCCCUUCUUGUCCUGACCUGCUUAGAGUCUUCAACUAUAUAGUUAGGGUCAGUAAAAUAGCGGCGUACCUUCUCAGAGGGGAAAUGCAUGUGGACUUCUCGGUUCCAAUGUAGAUGAUUGCUUUAACGAUGCUGAGGAACGGUCUUCCAAGGAUGAUGGGUGGAUCAUACUCGUCUUCUCCCAUGUCAAUAACCUUAAAAUUAUCUAGAGCUGAAUGUAUGUUGGUUGUAGGGGUAUGGUUCCAUGCAGGAGCUGAUAGGUGACUGCGGCCAUUAUGUUGACGCCUGACCCGGUGUCGCAAAGCAUCUUCUGGAAGUUGUAUCCAUUAAUGGAGCACUGGAUGCUUGGCAUACUUGGGUCAUCCUUUUUGGUCAGGAAUGGUGACUUAAGUCGACGAUCUUGACCUCCUUGAACUGCAGUGACCAUCUUAGCUGACUUGGUCCAUAUUUGCUUGUUCCUGUUACUCCUGUUGGUCCUCUUCCUUGGUUCAUGUCGGGAAUGCUCUGAGAUUUGUGUAGUCUUGUUUUUGAAGGAAAACGUCUCCUUCCUCCCCUUGAUGUAGAAUCUGAUCUCGGCAACACUAGCGUAGAUGACAGCUCCCGAGGUAUUCAGGAAUGGCCUCCCUAGGAUGACGGGUGCCCUCUCAUCAGUAGCAGUCCCUAUCACCACG
rnacentral:lncRNA from 1 species